AAGAAACUUCAGCUGCACUGAAGCUAUAAUACCUUUCACAGAUGCAUUACGUAUUGCAUAAAAGGGUAUCAACAUUUCUUUGUUUUAAUUUUUAUUGGUCAAUUUGCAAGGCAGCUAUAUCCUAUAGUAGUACGAUUUCAGUGAUACUGACAAAUGUAAUGCUUCUUGUGUAGAAAAGAACGUGUGCAAAAUUUCAGAUCGAUAUCAUCGAUAUAGCAAAAGCUGAGGAACUUGUUCGCGUAUAUAUGUAUGCAUGUACAGACAGACGGACAUGACUAAAUCGAACUAUUGUUGUAGCGGCCGAAAACAUUCCUGCAGCAAUUUCGACGAAUGGUGCCGAUUUGACACUUAUUGGCCGGUUAAAAAUUCAAGUCCAUUCCGGUUAUUUAGACCCGAUUGUCGUGAGAACGCUGGGUUUUCGUCGAUUCCUUCUGGAUCCUACCAGCUUCAUGGCUAACUUAAUAUUCGCUGUUCAAGGUAUAAAUAUAUUCUUUACAGGCGUCACAAUCGAGUGCGUUACUAAGACUUCAUGGGUGAUUUUUCGGUCGCAAAGAAAUUUAAAAUUGUAAGCAGUCAAAACUUUGUGUGUGUUGCUGACCUAUAAAAGCCCUUUAAUAUGAUAUUAGACUACCGAAAUGGCUUCAAAUCUUGCAGGAUCCUUUAUAUUUAUAAACCCACACAUCACCAAGAGAAAUCGAGGAGGUAGGAAGGAGGAAUAUGAACAAAAGCGUGGCCCAAACACUGGCAGCGGCUAGAAUAAAAUGUGUAUCAAAAAUGUAAACAACGCAAUGUUACGAGCAAUAUAACCGCACUGGAGAUAUACCCAUAUAGUACAAACUUAUGCUUAAGACUACUGUUCACGGAAAGAAAUGUGCAUAAAAAUGACCCUGUUCGGAAAACAUAAAUGCAAUAUAAAGUGGCACGAGAAAAGCUAGCAAUAAGCACUUAAGGAAAAUUUAAGUUCGAAAAAAACUAUAUCAGCGACGAAAAGAUUCGUUUUAAAAUAUGAUUCGUGGAGACGUCAAUUAAAAGCCUAAGUUAAACACCAAGACAGAGAUUGCCUGCGGAUAUAAAGCUAUAAGGAUAAGGAGGUCCAAACCUUGUGUAUAAAAUUUACAACGUCGGAAACACGAUUAUUUCGAAAUUAAAAAUGCUAAUGCGAAGCCAAAAUUUCGAAAAAUAGCCAAAACAAUAUUUUUUCUUUGGUCAACAGUCAUUAAAAGAGUAAGGGGAUAUCCUAAUAUAGAAAUCUGUAAACAUCAAGAAUAUUUUUUUCAUAUUUCAGUGGUUUAAAUAUUUAAAAAUAUCUCCGUAAAAGGAUUUUUUAAAAUUCAAAUUAUUUUCAAAGUUCGAGCUGUUUUAGUGUCGUGGCAACUAAGCCGGUUUAGCCUUAACUGAAAACUAUAAAUCAGGUUAAAUGUACUAUGACCGUAUGUAAAUAUCGUAAAAAAAAAACAUCUUCGGGCAUAUUGGAUUCUUCUUUACCAUCUUUUGAAUAUAGUUGCCUUUAUCAUCAUUUCGGGCUGUACAGCGAAAUUUUCAGCAGGCCUUGAGCUUAUCAAAGCCUAUGAGCUUUUCAAAUAA